UAGUUGGUGGGGUAAUGGCCUACCAAGGCAACGAUCAGUAGCCGGCCUGAGAGGGUGAACGGCCACAUUGGGACUGAGACACGGCCCAAACUCCUACGGGAGGCAGCAG
rnacentral:rRNA from 1 species